rnacentral:lncRNA from 1 species
CGCGUCCCGGGUGCCGCGCGCCCUUCUUAUGCACAGCUGCGGUGCGCCCCGCCGCCCGCCAGAGGCUCGGCUCGCGCGGCGCGGCCGCUGCGACUUCCUGGAGUUCUGCCUGCCGGGGGCGCGGGCGGGUGUGUGAGAGAGAAGGCGAAGGGAGCCGCGGGGUGGGAGAGGAGGGAGUCCCGGCGGGAGGGCGGGGGAGAGGCUGGCGGGAGGGGGGCUCCACGGAGCUCCAGCCAGGGCCGCGGUUCGCCUGCACGUCACGGCUACUCAAACCCAAGCACGUCCCGAAAGCGGCUUUGUCAGGAUCGCGGUGCGGCGACCGACGUUGGGCUCUUGCAUUGCUUUGUGCUUGGCAAUGGAAUCAUGGUUUCGGGGUCUAAACUUUUGUUUCGUUUUGUAGUCUUAAUGUAUCUGAUUCUUUUUCAAGUUUCCCUAGUAACAGGUUUGGGGACGGGGUGGGAAGAAGCGAGAAAAGGGGUGAAGAGAAAAAACCAGAUUAUAUAGAAAGGAAAAAGGGAAAAGGGAUGUUUCCCCACCUUUUAAUCUAACUAUCUAUCUGUCUGUCUAUCUAUCAUCAUAGAUAGUCAUUUUGCCUCCUGGACAGUUGGCUGACGAAGUGUCUGAUAAACCAGCUUCAGAUACAUGCUACAAAAGGUCAUUCGCCUCCUGAUUAUGUUUCUACUUGUAAACGCAGUUGGUGGUUUGCAAAACAAGUGCUAAAAUAGUGCAGUGAUGUGGUGGGAGGAAACCAUAAUGGGUAAUUCAUAUAAAGUGCUGGAAUCUUCGUAAGGAAGUCCCACUUUAUCAUUAAUGAUGACAAUAACUAAGGCUGCCAGGAACAGCACAUCUGCUGAGCUUUAUCAACACCAGAUUCUCUCAUUUUGCCUUCUGGAUCUCCAUGCUUUUUUAUACCAACAAACAAGAGGAAGAAUAUUCUCUACCCACUUCCUUGACUGAAGCCUGCUCUUUUAUGAAGACAUGGCAUCUCUUCCAACCGUGUCAAACAGAUGCAAUUUAUAUGUCUGCUGCUUCCAUACCCUGAUUAAAUGGGUCAGUGGCAGAAUCAGUAUCCUUAGUCUCCCCUUUGGUUUCAAAUAUGUACUCCUUAUUUCAGUUUCAUGCUCACCUUUCUGUAGAGACCAAGGCAUCUGCCUUUGCAGCUUUACCUCUUCCUCCAGGUUAUAGUUUCCAUUCAUGGAAUCUUUUAGCUGCUGGCUGGCAGUUUUCCUGUCUACCUGACUUCCAUUCCUCUUCUCAUGACUUCAGCUCCCAUGCAGAUGUCUUAUCCUGACAUACUAGCUUCUCCAUUCUAUUUCUGUGUGUGUGUGUCUGUGUGUUUCCCUACUAGUUCAUCCACAUUUCCCUAUGGUCUUUUUUUUUUAUGUUUUAUUUUUGCAUAUGUGUAUU